rnacentral:rRNA from 1 species
UUUAUGGAGAGUUUGAUCCUGGCUCAGGAUGAACGCUGGCGGCGUGCCUAAUACAUGCAAGUCGAGCGAACAGAUAAGGAGCUUGCUCCUUUGACGUUAGCGGCGGACGGGUGAGUAACACGUGGGUAACCUACCUAUAAGACUGGAAUAACUCCGGGAAACCGGGGCUAAUGCCGGAUAACAUGUUGAACCGCAUGGUUCUACAGUGAAAGACGGUCUUGCUGUCACUUAUAGAUGGACCCGCGCCGUAUUAGCUAGUUGGUGGGGUAACGGCCUACCAAGGCGACGAUACGUAGCCGACCUGAGAGGGUGAUCGGCCACACUGGAACUGAGACACGGUCCAGACUCCUACGGGAGGCAGCAGUAGGGAAUCUUCCGCAAUGGG